CUUCAGUCUCCUUUCUUUCCAUCUAUGUUGUUCAAAAUCCAAAUGGAUUUUCAGGAAAUGAAGUUCUAGCAAUGAUUUCUUGGCUUUCCUGACAUUCAAAAAUGCUUUCUUUAAGGGAUUUUUGGAGAAGGCAUAGAAGGAAGGCUUUUGUUGCUGCGAGAGCUUUGGGAAGUGGGUAUUUUUUGUAUGGGAUUUAUGCUUCUCAUACACAAAGGAUUUCUAAUUUGGAGACUCAAAUCGACAGCCAGCAUGAAAUCGAUGAGCUCGUUAAGGCCCAGGGGAACAUUUGGAUGCUGGCACGAAAUUGUUGAGGCUCUUGUGGC